GACGUAGGGCGCGAGCGUUGUCCGGAUUUAUUGGGCGUAAAGAGCUCGUAGGCGGCUUGUCGCGUCGUCCGUGAAAACCUGCGGCUCAACUGCAGGCUGGCGGUCGAUACGGGCAGGCUGGAGUUCGGUAGGGGAGACUGGAAUUCCUGGUGUAGCGGUGAAAUGCGCAGAUAUCAGGAGGAACACCGGUGGCGAAGGCGGGUCUCUGGGCCGAUACUGACGCUGAGAAGCGAAAGCGUGGGGAGCGAACAGG
rnacentral:rRNA from 1 species